GACGAACGCUGGCGGCGUGCUUAACACAUGCAAGUCGAACGCUGAAGCUCAGCUUGCUGGGUGGAUGAGUGGCGAACGGGUGAGUAACACGUGAGUAACCUGCCCUCUUCUUUGGGAUAACGCCCGGAAACGGGUGCUAAUACUGGAUAUUCACUGAUUCUCGCAUGGGGGUUGGUGGAAAGGUUUUUUCUGGUGGGGGAUGGGCUCGCGGCCUAUCAGCUUGUUGGUGGGGUGAUGGCCUACCAAGGCUUUGACGGGUAGCCGGCCUGAGAGGGUGACCGGUCACAUUGGGACUGAGAUACGGCCCAGACUCCGACGGGAGGCAGCAGUGGGGAAUAUUGCACAAUGGGCGAAAGCCUGAUGCAGCGACGCCGCGUGAGGGAUGGAGGCCUUCGGGUUGUAAACCUCUUUCGCUCAUGGUCAAGCCGCAGCUUUGGGUUGUGGUGAGGGUAGUGGGUAAAGAAGCGCCGGCUAACUACGUG
rnacentral:rRNA from 1 species